rnacentral:rRNA from 1 species
AGAGUUUGAUCCUGGCUCAGAUUGAACGCUGGCGGCAGGCCUAACACAUGCAAGUCGAACGGUAACAUUUCUAGCUUGCUAGAAGAUGACGAGUGGCGGACGGGUGAGUAAUGCUUGGGAACUUGCCUUUGCGAGGGGGAUAACAGUUGGAAACGACUGCUAAUACCGCAUAAUGUCUUCGGACCAAACGGGGCUUAGGCUCCGGCGCAAAGAGAGGCCCAAGUGAGAUUAGCUAGUUGGUAAGGUAACGGCUUACCAAGGCGACGAUCUCUAGCUGUUCUGAGAGGAAGAUCAGCCACACUGGGACUGAGACACGGCCCAGACUCCUACGGGAGGCAGCAGUGGGGAAUAUUGCACAAUGGGGGGAACCCUGAUGCAGCCAUGCCGCGUGUGUGAAGAAGGCCUUCGGGUUGUAAAGCACUUUCAGUUGUGAGGAAAAGUUAGUAGUUAAUGCCUGCUAGCCGUGACGUUAACAACAGAAGAAGCACCGGCUAACUCCGUGCCAGCAGCCGCGGUAAUACGGAGGGUGCGAGCGUCAAUCGGAAUUACUGGGCGUAAAGCGCACGCAGGCGGUUUGUUAAGCUAGAUGUGAAAGCCCCGGGCUCAACCUGGGAUGGUCAUUUAGAACUGGCAGACUAGAGUCUUGGAGAGGGGAGUGGAAUUCCAGGUGUAGCGGUGAAAUG